GAUGGGUAGGGGAGCGUCGUGUGCCGGGUGAAGCAGCCGCGGAAGCGAGUUGUGGACGGUUCACGAGUGAGAAUGCAGGCAUGAGUAGCGAUACAAACGUGAGAAACGUUUGCGCCGAUUGACUAAGGGUUCCUGGGUCAAGCUGAUCUGCCCAGGGUAAGUCGGGACCUAAGGCGAGGCCGACAGGCGUAGUCGAUGGAUAACCGGUUGAUAUUCCGGUACCCGCUGUGAAGCGUCAAACAUUGAAUCAGGCGAUGCUAAGUCCGUGAAGCCGUUCCGGACCCUUCGGGGAAAGGAAAGUGGUGGAGCCGACGGACCAGACUUGUAGUAGGUGAGUGAUGGGGUGACGCAGGAAGGUAGUCCAUCCCGGGCGGUGGUUGUCCCGGGGUAAGGGUGUAGCCCGAGUGGUAGGCAAAUCCGCCAUUCAUUAAGGGUGAGACCUGAUGCCGAGCCGAUUGUGGUGAAGUGGAUGAUCCUAUGCUGUCGAGAAAAGCCUCUAGCGAGUUUCAUGGCGGCCCGUACCCUAAACCGACUCAGGUGGUCAGGUAGAGAAUACCGAGGCGUUCGGGUGAACUAUGGUUAAGGAACUCGGCAAAAUGCCCCCGUAACUUCGGGAGAAGGGGGGCCACAACUGGUGAGAGCACUUGCUGCUCGAGCUGGGGGUGGCCGCAGAGACCAGCGAGAAGCGACUGUUUACUAAAAACACAGGUCCGUGCGAAGCCGUAAGGCGAUGUAUACGGACUGACGCCUGCCCGGUGCUGGAACGUUAAGGGGACCGGUUAGUCCAACUUCGGUUGGGCGAAGCUGAGAACUUAAGCGCCAGUAAACGGCGGUGGUAACUAUAACCAUCCUAAGGUAGCGAAAUUCCUUGUCGGGUAAGUUCCGACCUGCACGAAUGGCGUAACGACUUCUCGACUGUCUCAACCAUAGGCCCGGUGAAAUUGCACUACGAGUAAAGAUGCUCGUUUCGCGCAGCAGGACGGAAAGACCCCGGGACCUUUACUACAGUUUGAUAUUGGUGUUCGGUUCGGCUUGUGUAGGAUAGCUGGGAGACUGUGAAGCUUGGACGCCAGUUCAGGUGGAGUCGUCGUUGAAAUACCAGUCUGGUCGUGCUGGAUGUCUAACCUGGGUCCGUGAUCCGGAUCAGGGACAGUGUCUGAUGGGUAGUUUAACUGGGGCGGUUGCCUCCUAAAGAGUAACGGAGGCGCCCAAAGGUUCCCUCAGCCUGGUUGGCAAUCAGGUGUUGAGUGUAAGUGCACAAGGGAGCUUGACUGUGAGACCGACGGGUCGAGCAGGGACGAAAGUCGGGACUAGUGAUCCGGCGGUGGCUUGUGGAAGCGCCGUCGCUCAACGGAUAAAAGGUACCCCGGGGAUAACAGGCUGAUCUUCCCCAAGAGUCCAUAUCGACGGGAUGGUUUGGCACCUCGAUGUCGGCUCGUCGCAUCCUGGGGCUGGAGUCGGUCCCAAGGGUUGGGCUGUUCGCCCAUUAAAGCGGUACGCGAGCUGGGUUUAGAACGUCGUGAGACAGUUCGGUCCCUAUCCGCUGCGCGCGCAGGAAUAUUGAGAAGGGCUGUCCCUAGUACGAGAGGACCGGGACGGACGAACCUCUGGUGUGCCAGUUGUUCUGCCAAGGGCAUGGCUGGUUGGCUACGUUCGGGAGGGAUAACCGCUGAAAGCAUCUAAGCGGGAAGCCUGCUUCGAGAUGAGUAUUCCCACCCACUUGAUGGGGUAAGGCUCCCAGUAGACGACUGGGUUGAUAGGCCGGAUAUGGAAGCACGGUAACGUGUGGAGUUGACCGGUACUAAUAGGCCGAGGGCUUGUCCUCAGUUG
rnacentral:rRNA from 1 species